rnacentral:rRNA from 1 species
CUAUGGGAUCGUUCGGGGUACAAUGCCUGGCAUUUUGCUUCGUGUCUUUUCUAUACUCGCUCAACUCAGCUCUUCCACGCUUAGGAUGUUGACUUAAUGGUUUUAAACGA